UAUUAAUGGAAUGAUGGGAAUUUAAACCUCUUCCAGAGUAUCAAUUGGAGGGCAAGUCUGGUGCCAGCAGCCGCGGUAAUUCCAGCUCCAAUAGCGUAUAUUAAAAUUGUUGCAGUUAAAAAGCUCGUAGUUGAAUUUCUGCUGCAUUGCUUUUGCUCCUUUACGAGUCUUUGCAUUGUGGCUUAUUUCGGACUUUGUUUUACAAUGUCCGGAUGUUUACUUUGAGAAAAUUAGAGUGCUCAAAGCAGGCUUUCGCCUUGAAUAGUUUAGCAUGGAAUAAUAAAGUAGGACUUUGGUUCUAUUUUGUUGGUUUUAGGUACCAAAGUAAUGGUUAAUAGGAACAGUUGGGGGCAUUCGUAUUUAACUGUCAGAGGUGAAAUUCUUAGAUUUGUUAAAGACGAACUACUGCGAAAGCAUUUGCCAAGGAUGCUUUCAUUAAUCAAGAACGAAAGUUGGKACUCUGGAAAAGGUUUAAAUUCCC
rnacentral:rRNA from 1 species